rnacentral:rRNA from 1 species
CCUACGGGGGGCAGCAGUAGGGAAUCUUGCGCAAUGGGCGAAAGCCUGACGCAGCCAUGCCGCGUGAAUGAUGAAGGUCUUAGGAUUGUAAAAUUCUUUCACCGGGGAAGAUAAUGACGGUACCCGGAGAAGAAGCCCCGGCUAACUUCGUGCCAGCAGCCGCGGUAAUACGAAGGGGGCUAGCGUUGCUCGGAAUUACUGGGCGUAAAGGGCGCGUAGGCGGAUAUUUAAGUCGGGGGUGAAAGCCCAGGGCUCAACCCUGGAACUGCCCUCGAUACUGGAUAUCUUGAGUUCGGGAGAGGUGAGUGGAAUGCCGAGUGUAGAGGUGAAAUUCGUAGAUAUUCGGCGGAACACCAGUGGCGAAGGCGACUCACUGGCCCGAUACUGACGCUGAGGCGCGAAAGCGUGGGGAGCAAACAGGAUUAGAUACCCCUGUAGUC